UGCCGCCAGAGUAAAGCUUUCUACCCUUUACUCCCUGCAAAGAAACAAGAGUGCUUAUCCCAGCUAAGCUCCAGGGUUAAAACUCUAUGCUGGUCAUUCCCUUCAGGAUUUGGCACUCACCAACAUACCCUUCUUUCAAGUGAAAAGGCAUCUCUUUUAAUGGUCCUGACCUUUGGAAUAGGAAGCAUGUACCCUGGACAGAGCACUUCAAACUAGAGGAACCAUAAAUCCAUGGCUAACCUUGACAAAUACACUGAAACAUUCAAGAUGGGUAGCAACAGUACCAGCACUGCUGAGAUUUACUGUAAUGUCACUAAUGUGAAAUUUCAAUACUCCCUCUAUGCAACCACCUAUAUCCUCAUAUUCAUUCCUGGUCUUCUGGCUAACAGUGCAGCCUUGUGGGUUCUGUGCCGCUUCAUCAGCAAGAAAAAUAAAGCCAUCAUUUUCAUGAUCAACCUCUCUGUGGCUGACCUUGCUCAUGUAUUAUCUUUACCCCUCCGGAUUUACUAUUACAUCAGCCACCACUGGCCUUUCCAGAGAGCCCUUUGCCUGCUCUGCUUCUACCUGAAGUAUCUCAACAUGUAUGCCAGCAUUUGUUUCCUGACGUGCAUCAGUCUUCAAAGGUGCUUUUUUCUCCUCAAGCCCUUCAGGGCCAGAGACUGGAAGCGUAGGUACGAUGUGGGCAUCAGUGCUGCCAUCUGGAUCAUUGUGGGGACUGCCUGUUUGCCAUUUCCCAUCCUGAGAAGCACAGACUUAAACAACAACAAGUCCUGCUUUGCUGAUCUUGGAUA
rnacentral:sRNA from 1 species